UGGGGAAUAUUGGACAAUGGGCGCAAGCCUGAUCCAGCCAUGCCGCGUGUGUGAAGAAGGCCUUCGGGUUGUAAAGCACUUUCAGCGAGGAGGAAGGGAGUUGUGUUAAUAGCACAGCUUCUUGACGUUACUCGCAGAAGAAGCACCGGCUAACUCUGUGCCAGCAGCCGCGGUAAUACAGAGGGUGCAAGCGUUAAUCGGAAUUAUUGGGCGUAAAGGGUGCGUAGGUUGUUUGAUAAGAUAUAUGUGAAAUACCUGGGCUCAACCUGGGAAGGUCAUAUAAGACUGUCAGACUCGAGUAUGGGAGAGGGUAGAGGAAUUUCCGGUGUAGCGGUGAAAUGCGUAGAUAUCAAGAGGAACACCUGAGGUGAAGACGGGUUGCUGGGCUGACACUGACGCUGAGGCGCGAAAGCCAGGGGAGCAAACGGGAUUAGAUACCCAGGUAGUCCCUGAGCGGGCUGGCAAGGCGCAU
rnacentral:rRNA from 1 species